GUAGGCAUAGUUUAACAAAAACACUAGAUUGUGAUUCCAGCAAUAGAGGUUAGACCCCUCUUGCCCACC
rnacentral:tRNA from 1 species